rnacentral:rRNA from 1 species
GAUUGAGUUUGAUCCUGGCUCAGAAUCAACGCUGGCGGCGUGCCUCAGACAUGCAAGUCGAACGCGAAAGGCCCCUUCGGGGGCCGAGUAGAGUGGCGCACGGGUGAGUAACACGUGGGUAAUUUGCCUUCGGGUGGGGAAUAACAGCCGGAAACGGCUGCUAAUACCGCAUAAUGCAGCGGCAUCUAUGAUGACAGUUGUUAAAGCGGGGGAUUCGCAAGAACCUCGCGCCUGGAGAGAGGCCCGCGGCGGAUUAGCUAGUUGGUAGGGUAAUGGCCUACCAAGGCGACGAUCCGUAGCCGGCCUGAGAGGGCGGUCGGCCACACUGACACUGACAUACGGGUCAGACUCCUACGGGAGGCAGCAGUCGGGAAUUUUGGGCAAUGGGCGCAAGCCUGACCCAGCAACGCCGCGUGAAGGAUGAAGUUUUUCGGAAUGUAAACUUCACAAGAAUGGGAAGAAUAAGUCCUGGCUAACAUCCAGGACGAUGACGGUACCAUUUGUAAGCUCCGGCUAACUCCGUGCCAGCAGCCGCGGUAAUACGGGGGGAGCAAGCGUUGUUCGGAUUUACUGGGCGUAAAGGGCGCGUAGGCGGCGCGACAAGUCACUUGUGAAAUCUCCGGGCUCAACUCGGAACGGCCAAGUGAUACUGCCGUGCUAGAGUGCGGAAGGGGCAACUGGAAUUCUCGGUGUAGCGGUGAAAUGCGUAGAUAUCSAGAGGAACACCC